GCGAGAGUGGUGAAAUUGGUAGACACGCCAGACUUAGGAUCUGGUGCCGUAGGCUUAAGGGUUCAAUUCCCUUCUCUCGCA
rnacentral:tRNA from 1 species